GGACCGAACCCAGGGCCUUGUGCUUCCUAGGUAAGCGCUCUACCACUGAGCUAAAUCCCCAGCCCCAUCUCCCACCUUUCAUGUGUGAUAAGCUUUGUGACAGGAAGAGGUCGAACAGGAGAUGACACUAACAUUGUGACAGAAGUGUAGCCUCAGCUUAGGGUAAGGUCCUGCCCUGAGGAGACCUCCUUUAUUUUCUCCUCCAGCUCCCAUCUCUUCCACAGGCUCAGUUCUCACUUCUCAUAGUCUCUCAAUCUCUUCCAUGUCCUUGGGUCUGGAAUGUGUCUCCCCAUUAGGUCCUCAGGCCUUACUUAGUGCCUACCCCACAGGCUUCACUUUCUUGGCUCCAUAAUUCCUUCCCUGCUCUCAUAAUCAUUGCAUUCUCUCUCUCUCUCUCUCUCUCUCUCUCUCUCUCUCUCUCUCUCUCUCUCUCUCUCUGUGUGUGUGUGUAAGGGUGUGUGAUAUGUGUGUGUGAGAGAGAAUGUGUGUGGUGUUUGAGGGUGUUCAUGUGUGUGUGUAAAGGGUGUGUGUUAUGGUAUGUGUGAAGUGUGUGUGUGAUGUAUGUGUGAAGUGUGUGUGUGAUGUAUGUGGUGUGUGUAUGUGUGUGUGUGUAUGAGAGAGAGAGACAGAGAGACAGAGAGAGACAGAGAGAGAGACAGAGAGAUAAUGUGUGGUAUGUGUAUGUAUGUGAGGGUGUUCAUGUGUGUGUGUGUGUGUGGUAUAUGUGUGUCUGAGAGAAAGUGUGAUGUGUGUAUGUGUGUAAGGAUGUUCAUGUGUGUCUGUGUGUGGUGUGUGUAUAUACAGGUGUGAAUGUGUGUCUAAGAGUGUGUUGUGUAUGUGUAUGAGGAUCUGAGCCUGUAUCUGUGUGUGUGUGUGUGUGUGUGUGUGUGUGUGUGUGUAUGUGAAUGCCUGUGCACUGUGUCAGAGAUUGAACCAGGGUUACUGAUCCUGAGAGGUUGCCAACAACCUUUCAUAGUCUAACUAAUAAGCUGUUAUCAUUGCCAGUGGCUCUUACCCUACUUGGCAGUGCUGUGUCUGUAUUUUGGGUCCAUGAGAGGCAAGAUUCUGCUUAUUCAUUCUACGCUAUUUUCCCAGGGCCUGGAGGACGCCUGGCACGCCAUUGGUACUCACUAAGCAUCACCUGAAUGAGCAACGGAGGAUAAAUCUUGGAGCUGUUUGCUCCACAUUGAAACAUUACCUGAGCCGAAGAGGGGAUUGAGUAAGACUGAAACCUAGCGACACUCACAAGGCUCAGGAAGCUGAGAAAGCAAACCCUAGUAAAGGCACAUGACUGCAGGUGCCAUGUGAAUAGAAAAAAAACAUCUGCCUGAGGACUAGGGCAAAGGUGAGCCAAGAGCUCCAUGCUCCAAUAUGGCCACAGCCCUGAUCACAGAGAGAACAUCCUCCUCAUCCUCCUGGAUCUUCAGAACUUUGGACUCUUUGGUGAGCUUGUUUAGAUGACGAUGUGCCCAGCCUGUCCCGAAAUGAAGAUGUUCUGCAGACAUGGAUCUCUCCUCUCUCUGCUUGUCAGAGUAUUUAAACACUGGAUCCUGAGAAGUAGAAAUUCCCUAGGCCCCUCAUGCUGAGAGAAGAAAAAGAUGCCCACCAGAGUGGGGCAACUCGUUUCCCAGGAAAGAGAUUUACAACUUGUUAGACUACCUUAUUGGAUGAGGCUGGACCCCAGAGGUUGAUGAGUCAAUGGUGGACGGUACUACACACUUCUUUGGACUGCUUAGAUGUGCAUAGUUCAGCCCUCGAUUAAAUUCCGACCUCACUUCAGGACUUCAGGGGAAGGGGGUCAUCGUA